GAUGAAGAACGCAGCGAAAUGCGAUAAGUAAUGUGAAUUGCAGAAUUCAGUGAAUCAUCGAAUCUUUGAACGCACAUUGCGCCCUCUGGUAUUCCGGGGGGCAUGCCUGUUCGAGCGUCAUUAUAACCACUCAAGCUCUCGCUUGGUAUUGGGGUUCGCGGUUUCGCGGCCCCUAAAAUCAGUGGCGGUGCCUGUCGGCUCUACGCGUAGUAAUACUUCUCGCGAUUGAGUUCGAUAGGUCUACUUGCCAGUAACCCCCAAUUUUUACAGGUUGACCUCGGAUCAGGUAGGGAUACCCGCUGAACUUAAGCAUAUCAAUAAGCGAGGA
rnacentral:misc_RNA from 1 species